UGAACAUUAAUAAUAUAAAAAAAAAAUUAAAUGAUGAGAAACACUAGCUUUACUUCUAUUGAAAAUAGAUCUAGUAACAAGAUAACACUAAUCAGGUAGGCUUAUAAUAUCAUAUCAUAGUGUAAAUCCACGCAUCUGCCUCCCGCUUUCUCUCACUUAUCCCCUUUAUUUCAAUUUUAGAUCUGAUAAAUUUCUCCAUUUUCUCCCAUAGGUAGCGGCAACUUUUGCAUCCAUUUGGUGGCAUCUCGUCAUGAACUGCUUGCGUAGGUGAUGUUAUAUCUAGCUGGCAUUUCUGGUUCCUCUAAUGUACCAACAUAAACAUAGAAGCGAGAAAGUCCUAAUUAAUAAGAUUCUGACGAUUAAUUUCAACACUAAUUUUAUGGAAUCCAGCAAAUUAAAUACCUGGAAGGACAAAGUGAACUAUGUAUUCUCACUAUUGAAUAUCAGAUUGUAUUAUAAUAUAGGUCCUAGUGCUCAGUUCCAGCAGCGUGAUUGAAUUCAAGAAUCUCCACCUACGUCCUGAUUUUGGU